AAGUGAUCCAGAUGAAAUGUCGCCUUUUACCUUUUCCUUUGUCCAGCUACACUGGUCUAAUCUACCUGCUGAUCUUUACAUAUUCUACUCUGAGGAAUCUCCAAAUAUGCUAUUCCUAUCCUCUUACCUAUUCACUAGUUUUGCCUGGUUUACCAGGAUACUUCCCUCUGAUAAAGAUGACUGAAGAAAUCUUCCCCUCAGAAAAUCACACGGUACCUUUGGCCUAUAAAUAUUACUGGCACUAGGGGCACCUGGGUGGCUCAGUUUGCUAAUCACAGUGUACAACAGGUGCUAAGUCCUGCUGCUAGCCAUCUUUUCAACAUAUGCAUCCCAACAGACUUGUAUAAAUAGUACCUACCACACUAAUUCAACAAAUAUUUUAUGAAUAUGGUGGCUGGGGCAAAGGAGGCAUUCACAGAUGCUGAUUGAAUAAAAAAAAAAAAAGCACUCCUUUGACUUGGUGU
rnacentral:lncRNA from 12 species